CCUACGGGAGGCAGCAGUGAGGAAUAUUGGUCAAUGGGCGCGAGCCUGAACCAGCCAAGUAGCGUGAAGGAUGACUGCCCUACGGGUUGUAAACUUCUUUUAUCAAGGAAUAAAGUGAGGCACGUGUGCCUUUUUGUAUGUAAUUUAUGAAUAAGGAUCGGCUAACUCCGUGCCAGCAGCCGCGGUAAUAAGGAGGAUCCGAGCGUUAUCCGGAUUUAUUGGGUUUAAAGGGAGCGGAGAUGGGUUGUUAAGUCAGUUGUGAAAGUUUGCGGAUCAACCGUAAAAUUGCAAUUGAUACUGGGAGUCUUGAGUACAGUUGAGGUAGGCGGAAUGCGUGGUGUAGCGGUGAAAUGCUUAGAUAUCACGAAGAACUCCGAUUGCGAAGGCAGCUUACUAAACUGCCACUGACAUUGAUGCUCGAAAGUGUGGGGAUCAAACAGGAUUAGAUACCCUGGUAGUC
rnacentral:rRNA from 1 species